GAUGAACGCUGGCGGCGUGCCUAAUACAUGCAAGUCGAGCGAACAGACGAGGAGCUUGCUCCUCUGAUGUUAGCGGCGGACGGGUGAGUAACACGUGGAUAACCUACCUAUAAGACUGGGAUAACUUCGGGAAACCGGAGCUAAUACCGGAUAAUAUUUUGAACCGCAUGGUUCAAUAGUGAAAGACGGUUUUGCUGUCACUUAUAGAUGGAUCCGCGCCGCAUUAGCUAGUUGGUAAGGUAACGGCUUACCAAGGCGACGAUGCAUAGCCGACCUGAGAGGGUGAUCGGCCACACUGGAACUGAGACACGGUCCAGACUCCUACGGGAGGCAGCAGUAGGGAAUCUUCCGCAAUGGGCGAAAGCCUGACGGAGCAACGCCGCGUGAGUGAUGAAGGUCUUCGGAUCGUAAAACUCUGUUAUUAGGGAAGAACAAAUGUGUAAGUAACUAUGCACGUCUUGACGGUACCUAAUCAGAAAGCCACGGCUAACUACGUG
rnacentral:rRNA from 1 species